rnacentral:lncRNA from 1 species
UGGCCGGCUUCUUAGUAGUUUUAGGUGUGAAUGGGUGUUUUAAUUGAUAAUUAAGGGAUUGAUUAGGUGAUUAAUCCCUUAAUUAAUCAAUUUUUAGGGAAUAUGAAAGGAAAAUAUUGUUUAGCUAAUUGAUUAGCUAAAUAAUGGAAUACAAAAUAUAUAGAAUAAAUUAGGUUUUAGGAAUUACCUUAUAGAAAGAAUUUGAUGAAAUAGGCUUUAAAUUGUUACCUAUUUUUGGCACUUUUGACUUGGUUAAGGAUGAUUGUCCGCGGCUCGCGCGUAGGAAUCUCAGUAUGCCUCAAGGGUAUUUUUGUCAUCUUUUACCAAAAAAUCCACGUGUCGCCUUGUGAUUAUUUUUGGCUCGACAAUAAAGAUUCAAACAUUUUGCCUCUAUACAAUUUUAACAAGAAGGCAUUGGAUCCGGAUCUAACGAUCCAAAGCAUCCAUCUAUGACCAACUCAUAAUUUAUGUUCUAGAGGUAUCACAACUCAAUUGGGAUUAGUCACUACCUUGCAACCUUUUGGGUUUUAAGCAUCGUUAUAUUCUAAACAGUAAACAGUUAACACUACCAUAUCAUCUCUAUUAUAGAGAUAAUCCAUUAGAUUACAAUAAUCUAAUCAUUCAUUAAUAAAGAACAAUGUUUUGUCAAACAAAACAUUCAUUCAUUUCUCAUACGGAAUUAAGUUCCUUUAUUCAAAUUGGAAUGUAAAGACAAUCUUUGUUUUUCCAUUUUCUUUGGUAGUUCAUAUGAGGAAGUAAGUAUUACCUACUUUCGUAGAGAUCUACAUUUGAUUCACGUUCCGAAUGUGAAGUACUUUCUCUUCUUUCAUUAAUCUUCUACUUCUUAUUAGCCGCACUUUUACAACGAUUGUAAAACAUAGUUACUAAUACAGAUUCAAGCAUUCAAGUAGAAGAACCAACUGUUUUGAACUUUUCAAGAACAAUUUACAACACCUUCGAAAUGUGUGUUCUUGACACUUGCAAGACAUUUCUUGCAAAUACCCCUUCCAAUGUCCAUCCUUUCAUAAAGAAAGUUUGUUCCCUUGGAGUUAUUUUGCCUUCUUCAUUUGACUUCUCCUUUGACUACAAUAGUCAUGGUCCCUAAACUCCCACUAUCUCUCUUGAAACUUAUUUCAAUUGUGUUAUAUACAUCAAACAAUUUGGAGAGCGUGUGGUUAUUGUUCACUAUAUAGUUUACAAUAAACUUAGUGAACCAUUUGGAUAGGGACACGAAAGUGAAGUCCUUCCCUAGUUUUCGUCUCUAGAAGUGGUUUAACACUUCAACACUCAAUGAUUCAAAAUCAUCAUAAGUCCAUGUUGAUGGACUAUUUUUGUCAACCAACCAUUAUGUUUCAAACACAAUUGCAAACUUUCAAGAGUUGUUCAGGGCAACUCUCAUUUCUUCAUACAACAAUUUGUAAGUGAAGAAUCAUGGCACAUAAAGUGUCCAUGCCCUUGUGCUUACUUCUCAAGUUCCUUGUUCAUGUAACUAAGGGUUGUUCAAAGCAACUCUUACUUCUUCAUACAACAAUUUGUAAUUGAAGAAUUAUGACAUUAAAAGUGUUGUCCUCAUUAUGAUAAACUUAUCUAACAUGUUCUUCCAAUGAUACAUUAUCAAUAGGAAUAUUGCGAGGAUGAGACUACUUAGGUACAUAUACAAGCCAUUAAAGACAAUCUAUGGGAUUGUAGUACCAAGUCCGGAAACUAAAGCUUUCGGCUUUUUCUUUGUCAAGUUUUGGAUAGUGUUUGCAAAUAUAUUGGUAAAUAAAUACAUAACAAAUAUAAAUUGAUUGAUUUUAAGCCAUUUGAUCCGGGUCUUUAAAUCAAAUAGCACCACCCACUAUUUUUGGCAAAUUCCAUAUCCCUCAUCGGAAUUCGAGAGUUUUGGAGGAAAAUCUUAGUAGGGUAUGAGAGACUCAUCAUUACCAAGCCCACCUCACAAUGAUAUGAUGUUGGCUAGCAUCAAUAAUAAUGAGAGAGUACGCUUACUCAUUUGCAUCUCUUGCAAGUACCCAUCUUAUUUGGCCUCUAGAGAAUGAAGCCUCACAAUGAUAUGAUGUUGGCUCCAUUGCACUUAGUUAAGUCAUUCCCACCAUGCAAGUUCGAGUAUGUUGGAAAUGUGCCCUAAAACCAAUCAUAUGAUGAUACUUUACGGACAUUUCACAUGUUAAACUAAUCUAGUUUAAUAUCAAGGGCAAAGAUUAUUGUUUGAGCCGUCUCAUAUAAAUGUUAUAUGCUUAAACGAUAAGUCCAAGGAAUAUGUGAUUGGGAGAAUGCAAUCUAAAGAAGUUAGAUUCAUGAGACCAUUCUUUCGUAGACACAUCCUAAACGUUCCUGAUCAUAGGAUUGCCAAUUGGGCAUUGACAGUCUGUUAAGAUCAGUACGUGCUGUGUCUUCUCUCAGGGAGAGUGACUAGUCUCGAGUCGUUGGUGUGUGUGACAUCAAGACAAGUACGUAGGUGCUUAAUAGAGAAUGAGUUCACUGAACACGAUUAACGAAGAGUUCUCAUAUUCAUGUCACAUGAGAACUCAUGGUUGGGAUAAUGCAAAGUAGUCCUUUGACCUGAGGCAUCAUAGUUAUCUUGUGGUUAAGUCCUUGAUCUUUGAUUAUGUCAAAAGUCACUCCAAAAGGAGGGUGUCCACGGCAUAGUUGGGGUUAAGCCACUUAGCCAUGGAGGCAAGUGAAUGCGCAACAAGGGAUCUCUAACCUUCAAACUGUUUGAGGGAGAAUACUCUAUGAUAUGAUUAAGAAUCUCUGGCCAGAGUAUGAAUGAGAUUUAGGAAGUCGUUCCAAAUCACAUUCAAGGUAAUCAUAUAAGCACAUGAAUCACAUUGGAUAGUAGACAUGAAUAAACUAUCAAACCAAACAAUGUGGUCAAGAGUAUUGUAUUAGAGAAAGAUCGUAUUGCAUUUGUAAUCCUAAACUGAAUAGGUUCUCUACCUCUUCUGAUUAGCUUGGGUAACCAUGAUAUGCUGCUAGGUGUCACUCUUGGUUUGUGGAAGCCCUAAACGUGUAUAAACAUUAAAGGGAGAAUUGAAAGUAAGUUUCAAUUCACAAUCGAUUUGAAAGAGUUUUAAUCGCCCACUGCCUCGCUAAAAGGAACCUAAUGGAUCGUACACCGUGUAAGGUGGAGAUUGAAGAAACAAUGGAGAUGAGUAAGAAUAAUUAAAUGGUUUAAUUAUUUAUGGCAAUGAUUAAUUAAUAUGUUAAUUAAUCAAACGAAUAAGUUCGUUAAAAACCUCGGGAUAGUUUUGGACCUUAAGGCCAAUGGGCUUCGAACGUCAAGCCCAUUGACUUAAGUUGUAUGACAAUUUAAUGAAUAAAGAUUCACAAAGGCCCAAAAGCCCAAAUCCCUUAUGUGGCCGGCCAUGUGUGUUGAAUUAGGGUUUUUGGUUCUUUAGGUCAUUUAAAGAAGUGACUAUAUAAAGAACUUUAUAGCCUAAAAUUCAUUAAGGGUUUUCUUUUAGGAAAUUGGAGAGAACACAAAGCUCUCAUUUUCUCUCUAAAGUGGCCGGCCCCCUUGGAGGGAUUAGCUAGCAAUCCUACUACUCCAAGGUCACUCAUUUCUUCAUCAAUCUUUCCUUGGUGUGGAGACUUAGAGGUUCUCAAUUUUGGGAACUUGGAGAACCAUUUCAUCCAUCCAAAUCCAUAGAUCUAAGAUGCAAGGAAUGAAGGCCCUCUCUUUGGGUGAUUAGCCUUUGCUUAUGCAAAGAGGAAUUUACAAAGGUAUAAUUUCUCAACUCACUUUGAUUUGAGUUGAGUCUUGGUUCACCAAUCUACUAGGCUUUGAAUUUCAUGGUUAAUGUUUUGUUUUUAAGUGCAUGCAAGCAUGAUUCCGCCUUUAAUUGUUAAUUGCAUGCUUAUAGAUGUUGCUUAAAUGAACAUGUUUUUCACAAAUCAUCCUUCAGAGUAGGGGUUCAAGAACAACUUCAUAAUCAUAUGAUGUUGAUCAUUCUCGUUGCCUACCUUCACAACAUCAUGUAUGCAUAUAGAACUCCUCCUGAGUGUAAGCACGCACUUUGUACUCCCCCAUGAUAGGGUGAAGUCGGUGUACGAGUCACAAACGAUUGGAGCCUACCACGGUGGAAGGCCACAAAAGAGUGUUCAAAGCACUCUCACGCUUAUCAACUUAAUAAUGGUUUGGUUGAGGGUUUUAGGUCUCAUCACAUAUAAGCAUGCAUUUUAAUCUUAUUAAAAGAAUUUGUUCCUAUUACAACUAUUGGUCCAUGUGAUUGAUUUAGCUGCAUAUGAUACUCCCACUAUGCUUGUAAAACGGUUUUUAAAGUAAGAGUAUAUGGUACUACUAACAUAAGGUUUGCAUUCAUUGAUGGACUAUAUAGUUGCCUUAGGGCCUUAGGAUGACUAUGAACCUUUGAUUCGAUCCAACACGAGCCUAGUGUUGAAUCUCGGUCUAGGGAUGAUGAUUGAUUUUAGUUACGUGUUUAAUCACAUUAAGGCGUGUUUUCUUAUUGGGCGUUGGACCCUCUACUUAAUUUUCAUGUAUAUCAAAUAAAGCAAGAAAGAAGUACUUCAAAGUAAAGAAGAGCUUAUGCUCUUUUACAACAUUUGAUCAAAAACAAAUUACUUUAAAGUAAAGAAGAGCUUAUGCUCUUUUACAAUAUUUGAUCAUAUCAAAUUACAACCAAAAUCUAAUAUACACAUUCCCAUGGUUCAAACAAAUUUGAGACGGCCUUUCACAUAGCUCAAUUAUCGUAGGCUUAGGUUCAUAAUCACCCUUUCUUUAAUUAAUUAACGCUUUAACUAAUUAAACUUGAAUGCAGCAUUUUCAUCUGGUUUUUGUAUCCAUAGAAUUGAUUUAAAUGGAGCUAAAUGAAAUGAAAUUCCAAUUCUCAUUUCAAGAUACAAAACUAUUUUGUUCUAAACUAAUUUGGGCCGAAAAACAAUAACCUCAACUAUUGGGCUAUAUUGCAAAACACAAACUUUUGAGGUCACUUUGUAAAAACACAAAAGUCCACUACUUCAUGUAAUUACAACUAGAACCCAAAAAUUUCAUCAAAAUACAAAAACUUCAUUAAAGGAGCAAAACAUUUUGUCCUUUAGUGAUUUUGGGUCUUUACGUAAAAAUGUAAACUUUCGGAUCAAAGUACAAAUACACAAAAAUAUCAAAACUUUAUGUAAUUGCAUAAAAGCCCCAAAAGUACCCUAUUUAAUAGGGUAGCCGGUUUUGGAUGAGAGAAGGUGUCAUAAAACUUUUGAAUUCAACAAAAGUGAAAGGUGAUGGGUAGGUUUGAAAAAGUGAUUUCCAUAAAACAUGGUUCCUUGAAACAAGGAAAAUGUGUAAGUGAUUGGUAUGGUGUGAAUAGUAUAAAAGGUGUGGGUAUUGAUUGAAAAUUCAAACCAUCCAUCAUUAACAAAAACUUUAUGUAAACAACCAAAAACUUUGAAUCAAAAUACCCAACCUUUUUGUUCUUGCCAAAAACAUAACAAGAAUAAUGAAGAACAUCCAUGAAAACCCAUAAGAGCUCCAUGAACAUUUUUCACUCAAAGACACCCCAAAAACUCUCAAACUUAAGGGAAAAAACAUAUCACCAUACUAGGGUACUUAGGGGUUCCUAAUGUCACUUUAAAACACUUUUAACAAGACAACAUGAACCCAAAAAAACACCCUUUGGAUUUGGCCGAAUUUCCCCAAAAACAUGGCACCAAAUUUUACCUUCAAAAUUCAUGCUCAUAUGAACUACAUCUACAACAUUUGAGAUGGCAAAUUUUCUAACAAAAUUUACAUUCAAAGAAGCAAGAAUAAAGCUUGUAACAAUUACAACAUUCAAAUCAUAAACUAUGAAAAUACAAAACCCAAAAGGAUUCACCAACUACUAGACCUAGGCCCUUGAUACCAUUUGAUGGAAAAUUUGUGAAAAACAUGUUCAUUUGAGCAACAUCUAUGACAUGCAAUUAACAAUUAAAGGCGGAAUCAUGCUUGUAUGCACUCAAAACAAAAAAUUAUCCAUGAAAUUCAAAGCCUAGUAGUUAUGUGAACCAAGACUCAACUCAAGAACAAAGUGAGUUGAGAAAUUUUAUACCUUUGUUGAUUCCUCUUUGCAUAGGCAAAGGCUAUUCACCCAAGGAGAGGGCCUUCAUUCCUUGCUUCUUAGCUCCAUGUAUUUCUUGGAUGAGGUUGGUUGAAAGGAUUCUUCAAGUUCCCAAAGUUGAUAACUUCCAAGUCUCCACACCAAGGUAGGACUUGAAGAAGAGAUGAUUGACCUAGAGGAAGUAAGAUUCCAAGCUAAAAUCCUCUAGGGUGGCCAGCCUCUUAGAGAGAAAAGGGAGCUUGUGUUCUCAUCUUUUCUCCAAAAGAAACCCUAAGGAUGAAAUGGCUAUAAAGUUGCUGAUGCGAAAAUUAACUUAACACACAAAUUAAACCCUCUUGUUGUCAAAUUGUAGUAUAAAUGCAAGUAGGGAUCGUUCUAAACCGGGGAUUAGGAGGGCUUGCUAAAACCUCUAAACUGACUUAAAAACAUAUAAACAAAGUUAAAAACACUAAACUAGACUCAAAGAACUUAAAACAAACUCAAAGGACUCAAAACAAGCUAAAAACGCUCAAAUCUGCCUAAAAACACAAACUGGGCAGAUUUGGACCCUAACACACUUUUGGGACACCUAAAAACACAAAUCAAAAUAGAUUUUGACUAAUAAAACACUUUAAAGUAAAGGGGGUUUUGGUUUUGACGAAUUUGAAAACAAAACAAGUAAAUUAAAGAACUAAUGAAUCUGCACGAAAUUGAGUAAAUUGAAUGGAUGGAAGGCUAGCUAGGAGGUUCUUCUCCACACAUGACAUACUUGCACAUAAACCAAUUUUCAGUUGUUCUUUCGAUCAAUCAUGAAACUCAACACCCCAGGUUAAUUAAGUUCGCUUAAAUUAACCUUCAGGUUCUCCUUAAGUUAUUGAAUUGGAUGGGAAAGCGUAUACAACAAUUCAAGCAUUCCUCAAAAGUUCUUUACGUGAACAGCACAAUAAAGAUAAAAUCAAAGAUCAUUAAGCAUUAUGAAAACUGUAAGUAUUGACGAGGCAUUCGUUACUAUGAUGAGCAUGAAACUCCUGCCAAGAAUUUAUUUAACGCGAUCGUUUAUAAGCGACCUCCAUUACUUGUGAAUAUAAGUUUGUAACUAUUAGGUGAAACUCCCUUAUACUCUAGCAUCAUAUUCAUGCAUGGAAACUAAGUGUGCACUCUUAAUAAACAUAUAGGAAUAAGUUAUCAAUCAAGCAGUUAAACAAAUUGAAUUCACAACUUAAGAAAUCACAACUGAAGGCAAUCAAAUCAUAUUGCAAGCAUGAACAUGGUUUUGAAUUCCCCCAUAGCUAAGGGGGGUUUAGUUCCUCAUACUCACAAAGCAAAGAUAAACAAAUUUAGACAUUGAAAACAAAAGAAUGAAAACACCUAAUGAAAACACCUAAAAACGCUCCAACAAUCCAACUUGAAUGGCAAGCACGUCCAAGGGUCUUCCUUCUUCUCUUUGUUGCGGCACAAGGUGUGAUUUGAUGGAUGAGUGGUAAAUUGUGGUGGUGGAUGGAUAUAGGUGAGUUAUAGUGAAGGGUGGAUGGGUGGAUUGUGUUUUCUCGGCCAAGGAAUGAAAGUGUAAGUGUAUGGAGUUGUGAGAUGUGAAUGUAGUGUCUUUUGAUGGAUCAUUUUCUCCCCCCCUUGUUAUGGUGAAGGGUGGAUGUAUUUAUAGGCUAGGGAGAGGACCACCAUCUAAUUAAGGUGGUAGUGGUGUAUGUUGUGGUAAUGAGUGGAAGUAAUGGGUGUAGUGGGUGAGUGUUUGGUAAUGAGUGAAUGUAAUGGGUGUAGUGGAUGGAUGUUUGGUAAUGAGUGUAGUGGGUGGAUGUUUAGUAAUGAGUGGAUGUAAUGGGUGAGUGGAUGUAAUGGGUGUAGUGGGUGGAUGUUUGGUAAUGAGUGGAUGUAAUGGGUGUAAUGGAUGGAUGUUUGGAGUUGUAGGUCAACACACUUGCGCACACACAUGCUGAUUUCUAGCCUUCAAAUCUUCAAAAACGUCCAUCCUCAUGUCUCCAUGCUUGCACUAUCCAAUCUUGGCCCAAAAAUGGUCCAGAAUGCUCCAAAUAGCACCUUGUUGCUAACUUUGUUAUUUGAACCUACAAACACACGAAAAUAGCUUAAAAUACAUAAUUGACUAAGAAAUAGCAACAUAAAUGCACAAGAACAAGCUAACUAAGUUGCAUAAAUAUGCUCCUAUCAAAUUCCCCCACACUUAGCUUUUGCUAGUCCUCGAGCACAACAAAACAAACGAAACAAACAAAACAUAACCUAGACCUUCCAACAUUUGCCUCAGGGAUUUUCAAUGAAACAUGACAUGCCAAAGAUCACCACUUAAAUAGAUUUAAGCAAUCCUUACCCUCGAGCAUACUUAAUCAUAGUCACCAUUCACUAGCUCACAUUUAAUCAAUUAAAACAACAUUUUGAAUGUACUAACAUGCCUUAGAGAAUUCCCUCAAUUCCUUACUAGAUACUCUCUAUUUUCACACACAUUUUCUGACUACACACCUUACACUAGUUAUAUGUGAGAAGAUUGAUGUAAACAUGGAAGACUAGUACUCACAUAUGUUAUAACAAAGAAAAUAAUUUCUGGAGUUAAUAAGCAUGUUUAGAUAUGAUCUCAUGAAUGGUAUGCUACUACUUAGAUGCGAGAACCAGUGACACCAUAUGCUCAUUCCAAUUUCGAACUCCACAAAUUGAAACACACAACACUCAAGAUUGAAGUCAAGGGUUGUAACAGGGCUUGGGGGUAAUGGCUAACAAAGAAAGAAUAGGAAUAACAAACGUUCUUAAAGCGAUAGCAAGCAAAGCAAUGAAAUAGACACUUGGAAUUCUCUUUAGAAUGUAGAAUCAACUUUUACAUACAAAGGGAAGAUUCAUGCAACACUUAGGGCCGAAUUCAAUGUUUUGGACCCUUUUUUAACAAACAACACUUUAGAGCUCUUGCUCAUACUCUUUUUUCUUUUCUCUACCCGUGCCUUAUUAAGGACUUUGGCGCACACACACACAAUAAUCAUUUCCCCCACACUUGUUUUUCUGCAAGAGUUCAACAAAAGGAAAUCCUUCUAAAUUAUGCUUUACUAUGCUUCAAGAACAAGGGUAUGGAUGGUCCUAUUCUAGGCUAGGUGAGGAUAGUGUGGGUAACAAAGAACAUAGGCUACACAAGGUUCAACGGGGUUAAACUUAAACACAUAAUGAACGAGAUAGGCUUUUUGGCUUUGGUGGUCACUACACAACUUCAUCUUGAAAAUGUGUUAUGCAAAUCAAUAGCAUGCUUUGAAUGAAAUAGGCAUGAGUUCUAGCAUUUGGAACUAAAUGAUGAAACGCCUUCUAAGUAGCAACCAAGCAAAGAAUAAUGAGAUCAUGCAACGACUUUAGAAAACAAUGAUGCACAGAUUAUUAACUCUCCAAAUAAACGUUUAGGCUCAAGUCUCACAAGGUUGUAGCGUACAUUUGAGUUCAUUCUUUCAAGCAUGUUACAAAACUGAUUUUUCCUUUAUGAUUGCAUGUGAAUUCAUAAAUUAUAACCACAACCAAGCAUACACCAAAGAGUAAAUCAAAUUUUCAUCCAUGUUUAUAACUCUCUUUAACAGUCAUGUAAUUAAAAACCAAAUCCUCAUCAUUGUGUUGGAAGGUACCCUAAGACACAAAUAAACAUACAAAAACAACUCUUUUUGGGUUUUUUCAAAACAAUUUUUCAAAUGUUUAUGAGAUUUUCGGUUUUUUAUGUCAAAACACACUGAAACACUCCAAAACAGCUUAAAAACACUUAAAAUAGUAAGGAACAACACUAGAAGUAAUGGGUGAUAAACUCCUACGAAUUUCAUGCAAAACAAUGGUUACCCCCCCACAUUUAAAUCAAACAUUGUUCUCAAUGUUUCAAGCAUAAACUCACACAAAAAACAAGCAAAUAAACAAACAACGAAUAAAUAUGACAAGUAUGGCAAAGUAAAAACUAGACAGAGUAGAGUUUAAGAACGCAAAUCUGGUUUUAGAGAUAGAUGAUCUUGUUGUCUUUCCACAGCUUUGAUCUCGAACUGGUUUGGAAUUCUGAGCGAGGAAUAUGAGAGUUCUUUGGUUUCAAAUCAGACUCAUUCUGCUGGGUUGAUUUGAUUAUGCAGUCUGCAUUCUUCUCUGCUUAUUUCUUCUGCACGGUAGGUAGGCAAGAGGUAAAGGUGUUGGUCUGUUUCUUUCUUCAAUCUUUCUAAGUGCCCACCUCUUGCUUUCUUUCUCCAUGUCCUUAGCUGAGGAUGAAUUAGUACCUUGUCUCCGCAUGCUUUGAGGUAUCAUUUUCACUUCCCUUAUCUAUUCCCCAGAUAGAUGUGGUAGAUGAAGAGGAAGCAUAAGAUGUUGAAGAUGAGUACUCGAGAGCAGGGCUAGGUAAGCAAUCAGGAAGGGGUUCUAGGCAGUCGAUUUCAGAUCGGAAGAUUGAUACCAAGUGCUGGUUGAUUGCUCUCUUUCUUCUUGUCCUGCAGAUGAAAACAACGACAAGGAGAAGGACAGGGAGAAAGCAUGAUAUGAGAUACUCUUUCUUUCAACCUUCAUGAUAUGAAAUACUUUUGCUUUGGAUGAGUUGUUUGCAGAGGUACCCCAAGGAAUAAGGAACACUGAGUGACUCGAGAGGCUUCGUUGGGAAGGCAUUCUCGGAGAUGACGAAAGGUUAUGUAUGUUUGCUUUACUAUGGAGGGUGAAGGUCGACAUUUAUAGGAAAUAAUAACCGGUACUAUUCUUUCACUCUUGUAGGCAACCGUUGGAUGAUUAAAUAGUAAAUUUCACGUGCUUUCUACUUCACCAGAAAUCUUCGACAGAUUGCCCGUGAUUUUCGCAAAGCUGAGCAUGCAUGUGAUAGAUGCUGACACGUCUGGAUAAAGCAGAUGCCUCUUCGAUAUCUGAAAUCGGCGCUUCGACAAACUGCCCGUGAUUUUCUCAAAGCUGAGCGUGCAUGUGAGAGAUGUUGACACGUCUAGAAAAGCAGAUGGCUCUUCGAUUUCUGAGCUUGCCUCUUCGAGUUCUGAGCUCCGUCGAGUCCAGAGGUUGCAUGUGACGAGUGCGGACAAAUCUGGAACAAAGGAUGGCCCGUGUUUCUGAGCAAGCCUAACUUUUGAGAAAGCUAGCGCCUCUUCGAUUUUUGAAUUGGCCUCUUUGAAUUCUGAGCUCGCCUUUUCAAUAUCUGAAAUCCCGUCGAGUGUUGAUUUUUAUAGAGGCACGCAGUUCAUUUUGAAAGCACACUUGAAUUUGCACUUGUAAAAACUCCCUUCUUGCACUUCUACGAUCUUGACUUGUCCGACCUCUUCUUUCUUUAACACCUCUGAAAAAUGUCUGGCCCCUCCGACCGUCGUUUUGACUUGAACCUUGGUGAAGAGGCAAUCCCGCCUUCUCCAGACAACAUAUGGCACCCAUCAUUCAUAUCCCCUACUGGUCCCCUUACCGUUGGGGAUUCGGUGAUGAAGAAUGAUAUGACAGCUGCGGUGGUGGCCAGGAACCUUGUCACUCCCAAAGAUAACAGACUACUUUCCAAACGGUCUGAUGAGUUGGCUGUUAAGGAUUCUCUGGCUCUCAGUGUGCAGUGCGCAGGUUCCGUGUCUAAUAUGGCCCAACGCCUAUUUGCCCGAACCCGUCAAGUUGAAUCACUGGCGGCUGAAGUGAUGAGUCUCAAGCAGGAGAUUAGAGGGCUUAAGCAUGAGAAUAAAUAGUUGCACAGGCUCGCACAUAACUAUGCUACAAACAUGAAGAGGAAGAUUGACCAGAUGCAGGAAUCUGAUAGUCAGAUUUUACUUGAUCAUCAGAGGUUUGUGGGUUUGUUCCAACAGCUUUUGCCUUCAUCUUCUAGGGCUGUACCGUGUAAUGAAGCUUCAAAUGAUCAACCUCCAAUGCCUCCUCCUUUUAGGGCUCCGCCGACUGCUGAGGCUCCGCCGACUACUGAGACUUCUCCUAAACAGCCUUUGUGAAGGCUCCCUCUUGUAUUUAUCUGCUUAAUGUUCAUUUCUUUUUUAUGAAUGUAAAAAUACCUUGCAUAACUGUCAGUGUUUCAAAAAUAAACCCACACAAAAAACAAUUAAACAAGCAACAAAUAAAAAUGACAAUCAUGGCAAAAUAAAACUACAGAAAAGGGAAGGUUUUUAGAAACGCAAAACUAAUUGUGGAGCAAUUCAAAAAUCUUCCUUAUUUGAAUACAUGGGUUGCCUCCCAAGAAGCGCUUGCUUUAACGUCUUCCAGCCGGACGAUACCUCCAUUUAAGCUUGUACAGGGCCCACAUCAUGGAGUUGAUCCUUGAAUGGAAGGUGAUACUUGACGUGAUCCGGCAAUGGUUUAAAUUAUAGUGUAGGUGCCUGAACCAUCAAAAUUAGCAAGUUAGUAUAUAAUAAAAUCGAAGUUGGAGAAGAUGGCUUACUUGCUUGCUCCAACACAAACUCAAUUACCAACACCACAUCUUUGAAGGUUACAGGGAUAUGGGACUUGGCCAAAUUUGGUGUUUUGAGAGUUAUGACUUGUCCCGUGUCAUAAAAUCCAACUUUUUUGAGAAUUUUCGUCUCAAGUGUAUCUUCUUUGAUGAAUUCUAGACAUUCCCCAUCCACUUUUUGCUCUUGAUUCGUUGGAAAGGUUUCGAAGAUGCCUUUCUCACCCUCUUCUUUCUUGGAUUGCAUGAUCCUGCAAGGAAUGAGGACAUUUGGUGAAACGGGGUCAGGACAAAUUGAAUUUAGGCUUACCUUGGUUGUAGUGGACGGCAUAGAUGGCAUAUGGGGCUGCAGCAAGGGUGGUUCUUCCCUUGUCGUGGCCUUGUUAUUCUCCUCUUCUUCGAGCAGCAGCUGUUCAUCCAUGUUUUGGCUUGGUUUGGAUGUCUUAGGUUCACCUCCAACCUCCAUAGCACUUCCCAAAGUGAUAGCAUCAUGGAUUUCAAAAUCUUCCUUCAAAUUUUCAACAGUUGGGUUGGAGAAUUCACUUUGCUCUUGAAUUUGUGCCGUGAACUCCAUAAUUUGCCCAAAUUGCUUUUCCAAUUCGCCCGUCUUCUUGGCUUGAUUUUGCAACUCUUUGUUUCGGUUUUCUACAUCCUGGUUCAAAGAGGUGAGUAACUUAUUAAACAUAUCAUUAUCCAAAGACGUACCUGAAUUGAAUUGGGUAGAUUGUUGUGGUGGCUGCAUAGGUCUUGAAUAGAACUCCUCUUCUUGCUGCCAAUACCCAUCUUGUUGGAAUUGUUGAGGUUCUCCCCACAUGUAAUCUGAAUAAUCUCUCCAAUCUGAAUUGUAAGCGUUGGAAAAUAUGUUGUCCCAUGAUUGGCUAUGGCCUUCAUAACCCCAAACAUCUUCAUUCGCAGCGAAUUGAGAACAUUGAUGAGUUGGAUAUCCUUGCCCAUAGGACACACCAUAUGUAGGGACACUUUGCAUUGUGGUCCCUUCGGCAUAUUGUGACAAUUGGGAGGUAAGUUUCGCCAAUUGAGCUUGAAUGGUAGCAAAAUCCAUGUCUUACUUCUCUAGUACCUGAAAUCAAGGAAACAAAACUAAAUGAAAUAUCAUAAGUAAAAAUAAAAGACACAAAUAGAAACAAAGUCAGUAACUAAAACAAAAGACAUGAAAAAGAAACAACAGGGGAUUAGCAAAGUUUCUAAUCCCCGACAAUGGCGCCAAAAAUUUGUUGCAAAAAUUAACUUAACACACAAAUUAAACCCUCUUGUUGUCAAAUUGUAGUAUAAAUGCAAGUAGGGAUCGUUCUAAACAGGGGAUUAGGAGGGCUUGCUAAAACCUCUAAACUAAUUUAAAAACAUAUAAACAAAGUUAAAAACACUAAACUAGACUCAAAGAACUUAAAACAAACUCAAAGGACUCAAAACAAGCUAAAAACGCUCAAAUCUGCCUAAAAACACAAACUGGGCAGAUUUGGACUCUAACACACUUUUGGGACACCUAAAAACACAAAUCAAAACAUAUUUUGACUAAUAAAACACUUUAAAGUAAAGGGGGUUUUGGUUUUGACGAAUUUGAAAACAAAACAAGUAAAUUAAAGAACUAAUGAAAUCUGCAUGAAAUUGAGUAAAUUGAAUGGAUGGAAGGCUAGCUAGGAGGUUCUUCUCCACACAUGACAUACUUGCACAUAAACCAAUUUUCAGUUGUUCUUUCGAUCAAUCAUGAAACUCAACACCCCAGGUUAAUUAAGUUCGCUUAAAUUAACCUUCAGGUUCUCCUUAAGUUAUUGAAUUGGAUGGGAAAGCGCAUACAACAAUUCAAGCAUUCCUCAAAAGUUCUUUACGUGAACAGCACAAUAAAGAUACAAUCAAAUAUCAUUAAGCAUUAUGAAAACUAUAAGUAUUGACGAGGCAUUCGUUACUAUGACGAGCAUGAAACUCCUGCCAAGAAUUUAUUUAACGCGAUCGUUUAUAAGCGACCUCCACUACUUGUGAAUAUAAGUUUGUAACUAUUAGGUGAAACUCCCUUAUACUCUAGCAUCAUAUUCAUGCAUGCAAACUAAGUGUGCACUCUUAAUAAACAUAUAGGAAUAAUUUAUCAAUCAAGUAGUUAAACAAAUUGAAUUCACAACUUAUGAAAUCACAACUGAAGGCAAUCAAAUCAUAUUGCAAGCAUGAACAUGGUUUUGAAUUCCCCCUAGCUAAGGGGGGUUUAGUUCCUCAUACUCACAAAGCAAAGAUAAACAAAUUUAGACAUUGAAAACAAAAGAAUGAAAACACCUAAAAACGCUCCAACAAUCCAACUUGAAUGGCAAGCACGUCCAAGGGUCCUCCUUCUUCUCUUUGUUGCGGCACAAGGUGUGGUUUGAUGGAUGAGUGGUAAAUUAUGGUGGUGGAUGGAUAUAGGUGAGUUAUAGUGAAGGGUGGAUGGGUUGAUUGUGUUCUCUCAGCCAAGGAAUGAAAGUGUAAGUGUAUGGAGUUGUGAGAUGUGAAUGUAGUGUCUUUUGAUGGAUCUUUUUCUCCCCCCUUGUUAUGGUGAAGGGUGGAUGUAUUUAUAGGCUAGGGAGAGGACCACCAUCUAAUUAAGGUGGUAGUGGUGCAUUUUGUGGUAAUGAGUGGAAGUAAUGGGUGUAGUGGGUGAGUGUUUGGUAAUGAGUGGAUGCAAUGGGUGUAGUGGAUGGAUGUUUGGUAAUGAGUGUAGUGGGUGGAUGUUUAGUAAUGAGUGGAUGUAAUGGGUGUAGUGGGUGGAUGUUUGGUAAUGAGUGGAUGUAAUGGGUGUAGUGUAGUGGGUGGAUGUUUGGUAAUGAGUGGAUGUAAUGGGUGUAGUGGGUGGAUGUUUGGUAAUGAGUGGAUGUAAUGGGUGUGAUGGAUGGAUGUUUGGAGUUGUAGGUCAACACACUUGCGCACACACAUCCUGAUUUCUAGCCUUCAAAUCUUCAAAAACGUCCAUCCUCAUGUCUCCAUGCUUGCACUAUCCAAUCUUGGCCCAAAAAUGGUCCAGAAUGCUCCAAAUAGCACUUUGUUGCUAACUUUGUUAUUUGAACCUACAAACACACGAAAAUAGCUUAAAAUACAUAAUUGACUAAGAAAUAGCAACAUAAAUGCACAAGAACAAGCUAACUAAGUCGCAUAAAUAUGCUCCUAUCAGUUGCCUUUAUACCACCUCACAAUGGAGUGGCAAACUUGCAAUUAAGCCAAGUUCACUACCUCUCUCUAUAUGGCCGGCCAUUAUGGUUCAUUGGGCUUUCAAGCCCUUUGUGGUUUCAAGUUGUCAUACAACUUGAGUUAAUGGGCUUGACAUUCAAAUCCCAUUGGGCCUUGCGGCCCAAAACUAACCCGAGGUCUAUAACGAACUUAUUCGUUUGAUUAAUUAACAUAUUAAUUAAUCAUUGCCAUAAAUAAUUAAACCAUUUAAUUAUUCUUACUCAUCUCCAUUGUUUCUUCAAUCUCUACCUUACACGGUGUACAAUCCAUUAGGUUCCUUUUAGCGAGGCAGUGGGCGAUUAGAACUCUUUCAAAUCGAUUAUGAAUUCAAACUUACUUUCAAUUCUCCCUUUAGUGAUUAUACACGUUUAGGGCUUCCACAAACCAUGAGUGACACUUAGCAGUAUGUCAUGGUUACCCAAGCUAAUCAGAAUAGGUGGAGAACAUAUUCAGUUUAGGAUUACAAUGCAAUACAGUCUUUAUCUAAUACAAUACUCUUGACCACAUUGUUUGGUUUGAUAGUUUAUUCAUGUCUACUAUCCAAUGUGAUUCAUUUACUUAUAUGAUUACCUUGAAUGUGAUUUGGAACAACUUCCUAAAUCUCAUUCAUACUCUAGCCAGAGAUUCUUAAUCAUAUCAUAGAGUAUUCUCCCUCAAAUAGUUUGAAGGUUAGAGAUCCCUUGUUGCGCAUUCACUUGCCUCCAUGGCUAAGUGGCUUAACCCCAACUAUGUUGCUGACACCCUCGGAUGGAGUGACUUUGACAUAGUCAAAGAUCAAGGACCUAACCACAAGACAACUAUGAUGCCUCAGGUCAAAGGACUACUUUGCAUUAUCCCAACCAUGAGUUCUCAUGUGACAUGAGUAUGAGAACUCCUUGUUGAUUACGUUCAGUGAACUCAUUCUCUAUUGAGCACCUACGUACUUGUCUUGGUGUCAGUCACACCAAUGACUCGAGACCAGUCACUCUCCCUAAGAGAAGACAUAACACGUACUGAUCUUAACGGACUGUCAAUGCCCAAUUGGCAAUCCUAUGAUCAGCAACGUUUAGGAUAUGUAUACGAAAGAGAAUAGUCUCAUGAAUCUAACUUCUUUAGAUCGCAUUCUCCCAAUUACAUAUUCCUUGGACUUAUCGUUUAAACGUAUAACAUUUAUAUAAGACGGCUUCAAACAAUAAUCUUUGCCCUUUAAAUUAAACUAUAUUAGUUUAACAUGUGACAUGUUCGUAAAGUAUCAUCAUAUGAUUGGUUUUAGGGCACAUUUCCAACACUAGGAUCUUUAAUUCCUAUCAGUACACAGUUUGCCAAACUAGCUCACCUUCGCCAAACGUAUUUUGUCUGACCCAUUGAUUAUAAGCUCGCUCGGCGAUCUUUUUUUGUGCCACCAACAAAUUAUAGGCAUCAAGACGAACUUGCUCCAAGUCCUCUAACUUUUGCCUCACGGCCUGAUUAUACUCGGCACUAAACAAACUGCUUUUUUUUAUUACUUGUAACGAAUUUAUACUUAGCUCGACUGACAGCAUCGCGUCAUGCUCGUAAGUCAACACAUAUAGGGACGUCCCUAUUGCUGAUCAGGGUGAAGUUUGAUACGCCCAUAAUGCCUCGUUUAACUUUAAAUGCCAUAUCCCAAGCUUCUCUUGAAUCAUUUUUUCGAGGAUACCAAUUAAGACUUUAUUACCUUCUUCGGCCUGUCCCUUUGCCUGUGGGUAAUAAGGCGUGGACUAUUCUAGCUGAAUUUUUAAACUUGCCGUGUAUUCUUUAAACUGGUCAAUUGUGAAAAUUAUGCCAUUGUCUAUUAUAAUUGUUUCUGGUACGCCGAAUCUUGUCACAAUAUUUUCCUCCACGAAACUACAAACCCCUUUCGAGGUUAACUCAGCAUAUGACUUUGCCUCAACCCAUUUAGUGAAAUAAUCGUUUGCUACGAGUAUCCAUGCAUGUUUUGCUGAUCUGGAAGAUGGCAUGAUCUUGCCAAUUACAUCUAUGGCCCAUCCUCUGAACGGCCAUGGUUUGGUAAUUGAGUGAAGCAAUUCGGUCGGGACUCUCUGUACAGGUCCAUGCAUCUGACAUUGUACACACUCUCGUGCGUAUUCAAUGGAAUCUUUUAACAUAUUCGACCAAAAAUAACCGUGUUGACGAAGUAACCAGCACGUUUUUCAUUCAAAUUGAUGCGUUCCGAAUAUUCCUUCGUGUACAUCCGCAAUAGCUUGGGUUGCUUAUUUUGGGCUGAGGCAUAAUAAUAACAGGCCGUCUUCACUCUUUUGGUACAACUCAUUUUGAUAUAUUACAUAAUUUAUGGCAUGUACCCUUAUUUUGUGGUCGUAUUUGCUCGUGGGAUUAUCAAGGUAUUGCAUAAUUGACUUUCUCCAAUCGUUUGGUAAUGUCUUGAUAGCGCAAACAUCUACACGACCCUCUCGUUCCAACAAUGAAGGUAGGGAUAUGACUCGUGUAUGGAUCACGCGAUCAUGUUCGAGAACUUGAUGAUUAACCAAGGUCGAGUGUGGUCGUCGUACUACUGGUAUUACUUGACCUAGUUUGCCCCCCAGGAGUUGUGCUCCGGAGGCUAGUUGUGCCAAUUCGUUUGCGUCAGUGUUUCGAACGCGAGAGAUAUGCUCGAAUGUGAUUCCCUCAAAUGACCGAGCCAAAUAGUUGGCAACUAUAUGAUAGGGCGCCAAAGUACAACUCAUGCAACAAAAAGUGCCAUUGAGUUGGUUAAUCACAAGUUCUGAAUCACCAAGGACGAGGACAUGGGCUGCUCUUAAGUCGUGAAGGACAUGAAGGCCGAUGAUAAGGGCUUUAUAUUCGGCCUAAUUAUUUAUACAAUCGAAAUCUAGUUUAAGAGAAAAAUACCAGCGGUAGUGAUCUGGGGAUUGAAUGACGAUGCCAACACCAGCCAAGGUCGAGGUACUAGAGCCAUCAAAGUACAUCGUCCAAUAAUUGUCACGUGUUUCCACCGUGCCAAUUUCGACGUCAUUGCCCCCGAAACCAUAUGUAGAGGGAUGCUGGGCCAAAAAAAUCGUCUAGUUCUUAUCCUUUGAUGGUUUUUUGGGGCAUGUAUUGCAGACUGAACUCCGACAGGGCCAUUGUCCACUUCCCGAUUCAACCUUUUACUGUAGGCCGAGUGAGCAUGUAACAAAUAACAUAUGUCUGGGUGAUGACCUGAGUAACCAAUGGGAACAUGUAAUGCUGAAGUUUUGAUGCGGCGAAAAACAAGGCCAAGCAGAGCUUCUCGAUGGGUGAAUAAUUAAUCUCUAGUGAAUUAAGAUUUCGGCUGAGAUAAAAGAUAGCUUGCUCACGCCCAGCAUUGUUGUCUUGCGCAAGAAGAUAACCAAUGGAUUCCUUGGCCGCCGAAAUAUACAACUUGAAAGGCUUACUACGUCGAGGAGGCACAAGUACGAGUGAUGUUGUGAGGGAAACCUUGAUUUGUGUAAAAGCAUCUUGGUGCUCUUCGCGCCAUUCGAAUUUGUCAGAUACUUUGAGUUUCAAAAACCUGGAGAACACCUUUAUCUUUCAUGCCGAAUUAGCAAUGAAGCGGCAAAGGAAAUUAACAAAUCUGAAAUUGGCAUUGGAUAUUCAUCUUUAGGGGUUGCCACAUUCAACUUACAAAAAUCGAUGCAAAUGCGUAGAACGUCGAUUUUUUUAGCACUGGUACGAUAUUCGCCAACCAUUCGAUGCAUCGAGCGGUUCGAAUAAACCAGGCUUUUAAAAGUCAAACUAGUUCAUCUUUUAUGCUGAGUUGUACAUCGGUCAAGAAUCACCAAGGGGGAUAGUAUACCAGUAGGCUAGCAGUCAUUCCAUGGUAGAUGAAAUCGCGGCCCAAUGUUCGUCUUGUUUGGUGUCAAACAUCGGGAUCGGUCAUGAGGUUAGCUAACCUAUCGAAUCCUGGUGAACGGUCUUGGUGCAAACCUCGAUGGCUUUCUAAAUUGAGAUCCUAGUAGGCCGACCGUCCUCGUUAAAGUCUUGCAAGGUGAUAUAGCUGACAUGAUCGUCGUAAUAUCGAGCUAAAAUCAUAUUAGCUUUGAACGACUGAUUGUCGACCGGAUGAACCACAACUGAUUUACCAUCCCAGAAGACGAGAACUUGGCACAAUGAAGAUGGGAUGCAGCCCGUUUGGUGAAUCCAAUCUCAACCGAGCAAGGCAUUAUACUCGGUCUUUUAGUUGACUAUGAAAAAUACGGUCAUAUGAUUGUGACCUGUGAUAGUUACCUCUAACGGAAGUACACCCUUGGUUUAGGAUUUAUCAUCGAGAAAAUUGCUCAUUGUGAUACCUGAUGGAAUAAGUUCGUCGUUUGAACGGCGUAAUGCCCUCAUGAUUGAAGUGGGCAUGAUGUUGACUAUAGCUCCGUAAUAGACGAAAAUUUUGGAGCCUAGGUAUCCUUCAAUAUGAGCCGUGACAUACAAUGGUUUCAAGUGACGCGGAUUAACCGACGGAUAGCGUGGAAACAAUUCGCUAAAAGCUGCUUGGAGUUAAUUCUCUCUUGUAGCCAGCGUAGACUAGUCGGUAGCCAUAAAUUUGACUUGUGUGGCUUCUUCAACAACCACGUCACUAGCCAGGAAAUUUUGUUGGGACAUGGUUGGCUACAAUUCGGCGGGUAAGACAUGGACCAUACUGAUUUCCAUAUUGUUGAGGACCGAGGGACCUAUUGGGUCGUGUUCUUUUUUUGGGAGAGUUGGCCUUUCGAGCGGGGUAGCUUGUUCAUGGACAUCAUCUGUAGGACUAUCUUCGGCUAGCACAGGGAUAUGCUCUUGUGGUAUACUAAUCGAACCUCCUCGUUCGGUACAUUGACUUUGGAUUCAGUCGGUGUUAUGACUUGGCAUUGCUUGUGGGAUGCCUUGCGAGUCUCUUCUUGAUAUGUGAUGUGAGCGUCUCUUGUGUCCAGGUAAGCAUCCGGCCAUGCUACACGUUCCAUUUCAUCGAUUGUAAAGCCGAAUAUGGAAACAGCUUCGAAGUGGUACCGUAAAUAUUGGAGGUCCUUGAGAGAAAAAGGAAGCUCGGCAAUAUCGAUGUCAGUAUAUGGAUCAACAGUACAGCCGAGGACCUGAGCUUUAUGUAUAUGCUGGUACCUGGCCUUCAUCCUUGGAUCCGAAGUCUUUUGGAUAAUACACUCGGCAUCAGGACAAGCUAGAACCAAAUCAAGAGUGUCCUGCCACGCUUUUGGGAGGUCGUAUAAGUCAUUUGCUGAAUACUUCUUAUGGAACUCCUGCAUUUAUUUUAAAGCCUCACCGAGAAAUGGCGGAUAGAGGUUUCAUCGUAUCUUAAUGAGUGGUUCAUGGGGUGGUAGUGGAGGAAGUUUGCUCUUGGCUUCUUCCCGAAAGUGCUCAAGACGAGCUUUUAUUUCCCCAGGCUGAAGGAGAAGUUUGAUUCACUUUUCUGACUCUUCAAUCGUGGUUUCAAAGUCGUGAUUGAUUACCUUCUUCCCUUGGAGUAACUCAGUCAUAAUCGUUGGGGGUUGUCGACCAUCCUCUUUACCGGCCGUUCCCUUCAGCUGCCAUUUUGUAGCUAAGGCAUCCAAGGCUGCUCGUCGGCGAGCCAUGCAGUUUAUUCUCUGGCACCGAUGGUUUUAUGAUUUGGAUAACGCGGUAUACACGCUGGUUGGGGAGUUAUAGGUAUACUAACGCUGAUCACGUGGUUCAGGUGGUUUGAAGGUACACUGGUUAGCUGAAGCACAUGAACUACCAGAGUUACGUGCAUAAUAAUCCUCGUUGUAAAACGGCGUGUCGAAAUCUAGACACAGUUGAGCUGAGGGUGGCUUGCCAUCCUGUACUUAAGGGCCAAGCCUAUCAAACACCUUGUGGCGUUAGUAUUUAUCAAACGUCUUUUGAGGUGUCGUCCCAGCUAUGGACGUCUGUUGUGGUUGCUCGACUCGAAGUGGCUUUUCUUUUGGUUCAGUUAAGAUGACGCUUGCCUUGCAUUGACCACAUAAAACUAUUGGCCCAUCAGGUUGUUCUUUUCUGGAGUCCGACAUUGAUUCGACAAUAGCCGGCCCUAUCAAAUCUUAGGGUGGCUCGUUCGAGAAUAAAUCGAUUUUCAAUCAUGGUCGAGAGCUUUGUUUUUGGACGAAUUGCAUUGGCAUAAACUCGUCCUUCCCUUUCCCUUUGUCCCUGGAUAAUCGAGCAUCUACCAUGCUUAUUAAUGCCGUAGCGAAAUGAUCGGUGUCAAUGAUCAUUUGCUUCUCAGGAAACUUAAGUUUUCCAUUGUCGAUCCAGCUUUGAAUGGCAUUGCGGAAUACAACACAAUUAUUUGUCGUAUGCUUGUUUGAAUUAUAAUACUUGCAAUAUAUUUUCCCUUUUGAUUCUUCGACCUUGGGGAUAUUGUGCCUCGACCGAAGUUUGAUGAUUUUGGCAAGUAGCAAUUGAUCAAAGAUGGCGUCAGCUUUAGUAACGUCGAAAGUAUAAACUUUUUUUUUAUUAGGGUUCAUCAGAGGCCAAGUGAGUUUUGGCAUCUUUAGGAUUGGGUUAAGCCAACGCCUUACAUAUAUACGGCUUGUCGAUUACUAUCUCGGCCACUUCUAUACUACAUAUUCUUCUCCUUUGGCUGACACAUAACUGACCGUGGGGUUUUUGUAGAUUGUCCCCUGGGACGAAGACUUUGAAACCUUAUCUUCUCGAAGUAAAUAAUCAUAUUGCUCGACGUGCUGGGUCAACUCGUACAUGUCACAGAAGUUGGCCCUCAGGAACUUCUUUUUGUAUUCUACAUCCAGGCCGUUUAGAGCAUCUUAACAAACUCGACCUCAGCGAGAAGUACUCGGCACUAAUUUCUGGCCAACUUAAACCUCGUAAGGUAUUCCAUUGGUGAUUCGUCAGAGGCUUGAGCCAUCCUAGCCAAGGACAACAUGAACACAUCCAUCCCUGGUUGAUAGAAUUGCUCGUGAAACUUCUCGACUAAUUCCUCCCAACUCUGGAUGAAGUUAGGUGAGAGGUUGAUAUACCACGUGAAGGCUGAGCCGGUUAGCGAAAAGUUGAACAAUCGUAGCUUAUGAAAAUCGCUAUUAACGUCCCCACAUUGAGUAGUGAACCAAACUACGUGUUGUCAACUUUGAACGUCGGAAAGUAUAAACUUUUUUUUUAUUAGCGGUUUAGCCAUGAAGGCCAAGUGAGUUUGAUCAUCUUUAGGAAUUGCGGUUAAGCCAACGCCCACUUUGUAUACUAUUACGGCUUGGUCGAUACUAUUUUCGGCCACUUCGUUAUACCGUAAAUUCUUUCUCCUUUGGCUGACGGGACAUAAUCUGACCUUAAUGGGUUUUGUAGAUUGUGACCUCCAAAGUGAAGACUUUGAACCUUUUGAAGUGCUUAAUGCUGCGCGUCACCUCAAAGUACAAUCACCUCAUCAGAGUUAGGUUUCCUCCCCUCAGGAACUUCUUUUUGUAUUCCAUCCAGGCGUUCCACGCCGACGUAACCCGGCCUCAGAGACAGAGAGAACUCGGCACUUAAUUUCUGGCUUCUAACUUAAAAUAUAGGUAUUCCAUUGGUGGAUUGCGGUUGUAUUUUGGCCAGGACCUAGCCCAAGGAACAGACAUGAACACAGUCCCAUCCCCCUGUUUGAUGAAUUGCUCGUGAGAGAGUGUUCGGGAGCGACGAUUAAUUCCCUCCCAACUCUGAUGAAGUUAGUUCAAUCUCCCUUAGGGUUGAUAUACCACGUGAAUGGCGUGGCAGCCGGUAGCGGAAAGCUUUCGACAAUCUUUAGUAUGAAAAAGUUCGCUUAUAACGUCCCCAUGAUUGUGUGAGGUGAACCAGAUCUACGAUGUUCUGGUCGACCUUUGUUGCGGCCAUUCUCACUUGCCUCCCAUGGGGCUAAGCGGCUUUAACCCCACGCCCAUACCAGUGGACACUUCAUCCUGAUGUGAGUGACUUUGAACAUAAUCUUAAUAGAUCAAGGACAUUGAACUCACCAAGAAACAUUUUCAAAGCUAAUAGAUAGCCUCAGGUUCAAUAAAGAUUCUGAUCUCUCUGAUGUAUCUAAAUGGCCGGGCGCCUCCAUGUGACAGAAAUGAGAGAGACAUGUCUCUCCAAUUUUCCCCAAAUUGACAAAACCCUCAGAAAUCCUUUUAGGCUAUCAAAUUGUAUUUUAUACCUUAUUUUUGAGAGCAAACUGUAAAUGAGAGGCUCAAACUUAUCAUCGCCGCCCGAAACUUUUGGGUAACAAGGCCUUUGGUGAAUCCAUUCGAUUGGUUUUGUCAUACGCCAAUCAUUGACUUCGAUAGUCCAAUGGCGGUCUUAAGGAAAAUACCCCUAGUCUUUCACGAAUAGUAGGUUUGGUUACAUAUAACAUUUUGCGGCAAACCCAUUGAGAAAUAAAGGUUUGUAUCAUAUGCCUUAUUUCAUCUUGCCUUAUUAAGUUCAGUAUUUUAUUAUUGUGUGCCCUUCAUUUUUGUUUUAGCGAGCAUGGUGGGCUAAACCAUUUAGAGCGUGUGAUGGAAACUUUUCCCAUCCAACACAUUGAGUCCACAAACUUAGAUUCUCAUUUCAUAUGGUCUUAUAAGUCCUAAUUAAGCUUUCCAGCCAACAAUCCUCUAUCAAUACGUCUUUCUUAUGUCCUCUAUGAAGUAUUGGUUGAUGGUUUUUUCUGUCUAAUUAAUUUGAAUCAAGUGUUACGAUAUUCAUUGAGGAAUCUACGCCCUUUGUAUUCCUCUUGAGGACGAUUCUAAGUAUCUUGACCAGUUCUUGAACCUGUUUCUUCCGGGCUUCGCUGACUUGCCUCAUGGCUAUACAUUAACCCCAAAUGUCUUUCCAUCAUGAUAUGAACAUACAAAGAUCAAUUUAAACUGAACCAAAGAUGUCUAUGUCAAAAAUUCUUUUAGUCCAAAGGGAACUCCUUUGAUAUGGAACUAGUGACCGUUCAAUUUCUAAUUAGUCUUAAUUAUCUAACGAUACUUUUGUCUAUAUUAAUGAUUCCUAUAGUCCACUUAAAAUUAUAUUGUACUCUAUCAAUAAGUUUAUUCACAUUUAUGUUAGAAACCUCCCAUAUACCAUUUGUUAUAAAUGCCAAAACUAUGAACUUAAUUAAUAUAGUAUAUAACGGUGUCUAAUAUAUUUCUAUAGAAAUUUCUUGUCUAUAUUAUUUAUUUAUUUCCAAUCCCAUUUGGCACUUUGAAUAUAUAUUCCCACAUAUGAUAAUAUUAUCUUUCACUUCCAAUUUUUAGGGAAUGGAUAUAACUAAUAUACCAGAAACUUUGAAAAAGUCACAUUUAUUCAUUCCAAUCAUGAGAAUCAAACGAUUUUGACUUUCUUCUCACUAAAUUAGCUCCCAUAUUAUUAAGAACCAUGAUGGAAAUUAUUCCACUACUGUUUGUGAUUUAAAUUAUUUUGCAUAAUAUGGAGACUCAUCUUUAAUGGAUCGAAAAACCACAUAUAAUGUCCAUUAUUUGAUAAAAGCCAUAGUUGGAUUCAUAAUUGAAUCUUUCUUUACAAAUUAUUUUUUAAGAAAUUACUUAAAAAGGUUCUAUACACCAUUGGAACCAUUUCUUACAUCAUUAAUAGUCCCUUAAGCUACCAUUAUGCUAUGACUAAUUAUCAUCUGUUUUAUGGAAUAUCGGGCCUAUUAGUGUUCUUCGGAGUCGGUGAGUAAGGCAACUUGCUAUCACACUAAUGUCAUCCUUCUAAAUUGAAGUAUUAUCAUAUGAGAAACUGUCCUCAAGGAACCUUUUCGUCUUUUUUAUAGGGGUUGAUAUAAUUCAUAAUUAUGAGUAUUAAAUCCAUUUGGAUUACACUCCUUUUGGAUAUGUCUUAUGUAGCUAUCAACCUUACAUUUAAUUCUUUUGGUUUGUACAUGUAUCUUUUUCUUUUACUAAACAUCUAUGAGAGUUAUAAAUAAAGAGAAUAUUCCACGGAACUUGUAAAUCAGUAAACCUGGUUUUCACUUCUAUGGCGCCAUUUGGGGUUACUAAGAUGAGCGAAAAACAACAAUCAAGGGAUUCGUCUGCUGAUAUGAAAAUAUAACACUAUAGGCAAGAUGAUGCUGAUAAUUAUUAUAAAUAAUGAGAAAAUUCAUUUAUGAGUCUUGCCCCUACCUUUUGAAAUAUACACGAGAUCAACAUUUCUCUGUAUAUCUCCCGACUGCCCCUUAAGCAUACCACAAGCUUAUGUCUGUAUUAUGUAAAUAUCUUUAAUUCGGUUCGAUAUAACUGUUAUCUCAACUUCAGGGAAUCUGGUUAGAGGCGUAAUCUUUGACAUAGUUUCACAAAACACCAAAGAAUUAGUUAGGGUUUUAUUCUAUAUCGGCCACUGCCUAAGCAUUAGGCCUAAUUAUAUUGUCAUUAUCUUUGUUGACUUCAUAUGUCUCCCAGAUGUUGAGGAUUCAAUUAGGAAAAACGCACAUUCGGAACCUCAUAUAUAGCAUAUUUUUCUAGAAUAUUCCUACACUCGGGGAUUCAUAGAACUGUUAGGUAUCAUAACUAUAAACACAUUGUAAUUUAAUCGCUGAUUUUAUAUGAGUAGCUCUCACCGACACAUAUAGGUGGUACCUAAGAUAGUAAUAUCGUUCGAUGCAUACCAUUUUGAUUUUACUCUCAGUUAAACAUAAAUUAUCUUGGUAUUGGGUAAAAAUUUACUUUCUCAUCUUACAUUAUUGUUCUUGAAACAUUUUGCAAAGUAUUCGACUUGUGUUUAUUCAAAAUAAACUAUAGUUCAACCGAGAGUGAUCUUCGGUGAAUGUCAUCCAACAUGAGUAGUAUUAUGUUGUGGACAAGUGCCACUAACAUCUAAGUGAAUUAACCUCAACAACUUUGUGAUUCUUUCUUCUUUCCAAAAGAAUAAAGAUUCAAACAUUUCGCCUCUAUACAAUUUUAACAAGAAGGUAUUGGAUCCGGAUCUAACGAUCCAAAGCGUCCAUCUAUGACCAACUCGUAAUUUAUGUUUUAGAGGUAUCACAACUUUAGUUGGGAUUAGUCACUACCUUGCAACCUUUUGGGUUUUAAGCAUCAUUAUUUUCUAAACAGUUAACACUACCAUAUUAUCUCUACUAUAGAGACAAUCAAUUAGAUUACUAUAAUCCAAUUAUUGAUUAAUAAAGAACAAUGUUUUGUCAAACAAAACAUUUAUCCAUUUCACAUAGUGACGGAAUUUAGUUCCUUAAAAUUGGAAUGUAAAGACAAUCUUUGUUUUUUCCAAUUUCUUUGGUAGUUCAUAUGAGGAAGUAAGUACUAUCUGCUUUCGCAGAGAUCUUUAUUUUAUUCACGUUCCGAAUGUGAAGCACAUUUUUCUUCUCUCAUAUAUCUUCUACUUCUUAUUAGUCACACUUUUACAACGAUUGUAAAACAUAGUUACUAAUACGGAAUCAAGCAUUCAAGUAGAAGAACCAACUAUUUUGAACUAUUCAAGAACAAUUUACAACACCUUCGAAAGAUGUGUUCUUGACACUUGCAAGACAUUUCUUGCAAAUACCCCUUCCAAUGUCCAUCCUUUCAUA